rnacentral:misc_RNA from 1 species
UUUUGAUUUGUUUUAGUUAUAUUCAACUCCAUAGACCACAUAUGAGAACUUCCGUCACAGAGGACUAAGAGGAGACAACAGAAUCAAUGUGUAUUAUCGCGGUUGCAUGAACAGUUUUGUUGAAGUAUUCUGCUCGAAGAUAGAACCUUCAAAGAACAAUUUCCGCGGAUAUGUACAUGAAGGGGCAUCAAAGACUAGUAAAGGCGGCAACGUUCAAGUAACAGAAGUUGACAUUUCUGAUGAGGAUAGAAGAGUGAAGGUAGAAG